rnacentral:rRNA from 1 species
AGCGAACGCUGGCGGCAGGCUUAACACAUGCAAGUCGAGCGCCCGUAGCAAUACGGGAGCGGCAGACGGGUGAGUAACACGUGGGAACGUGCCUUUUGGUUCGGAACAACUGAGGGAAACUUCAGCUAAUACCGGAUAAGCCCUUACGGGGAAAGGAUUAUCGCCAAAGAUCGGCCCGCGUCUGAUUAGCUAGUUGGUGGGGUAGUGG